rnacentral:lncRNA from 1 species
AGAUAUAAGAUGUCAAGAAAACGUCAAGAAAAGAUUUUUUAAAAUUUCUUGAUUUUUUCUCAAGACAGGAACUUGAUGUCAACACAAGAAUUCUUGUCUUGUCGACCCCUACAGAUUCUUACAAACCUUAAAGAUGUUCAUAAUAUCAUAAUGUUCGAAUCAGCUGUAAAACUAAGAAAGGUAAUUUGGUAAAUCGUAUACCUGGCAGAGGGCCAACCUGGACCGUAGCUCAUCGUACACCGCGUUUAGAAUUUGCAAGAAAUUAUGUUAAUUAAAUGGAGGCUGAUGACAGGUUAUUUACAGAUGAGAGUGGAUUCUGUCUUUGCAAUUGUGAUAGGCGUGUUCGCGUGUACCGACGUUAGAGAACGAAAAAUUUUCUAGAGGAAAUUGGAAUAGACAUUAUGGGAUCGCCAGCGAAUAGUGCCGAUCUCAGUCCUAUAGAGAAUGGAAUUGGGACUUAACUAUGCAGAAACUGGACCAAAGUCUUGUCCAAAUUUAGAAUAAACUGGAUGAGAAUACUUUAAGACCGUUUAUUUCGAGUAUGAAUCGUCGAUGCCAGGAUGUCACUCGUAGCUUACUUACUUACUCCGUGACGUUACAACUCUUUGUGUGGUUUAGCUGACUCGACAACAUGCCUCCACUGUUCUCUGGCUUGAGCAACCUUUAUCCAAUUUUCCACUCCCAUAGUGUUCAGCAGUGGGACUCUAUAAUUUUUAUAGCGAAAGCGUAAGCAAGUCGUAGCGAAGCGUAGCAAAGCAACGGUUCAGUUCGAAUCGUACUCUGUAUUGUGUGGCUUCGCUUCGCUAUACUAUCGCAAUACUCUACGAACUGGACCGAAUUGAAACGAACGAUUGGGUAAAAAUUAACGGCAACACAGCACGUCGUUUCAAGAUUUUAGAGUUCUGUAAUAAUUGUCUUGUUCUAUGCCAUAGAUAAACUCCGUCCUGUGGAAAUGUGAUGUGAUUCUACAUAUUUGACAGAUUUAACUAACCUAUAAUUC